rnacentral:lncRNA from 1 species
UCACUGUUUUUAUUGCCUCGUAUCUGCAGGAAGAAGAUGAGGAUGAUGAUGAUGCACCUGAUGCUCUUUGGUUUGAUUGGCAGCAUCAGUGCCCUACCGACCCCCCGUGAGGAGGGCAGAAGUGCAGGCAGUGGGGAUGGGUGGAAGGAAACUGGACAGGCUCUUCUGGAGUCACACUGGCCUCCCAUAGAUAAUGUGGUCGCUACUGAGGGGUCAGGACUUGCUCUCACGGCUGAAGAGUUUGUGAUGAUGACUGGAGCUGUGACCCUUCCUCAAAAUGCAUCUGCAUUCAAGAGCAGCUCUAACAAUGAGCCAGAAAACCGAACCAGCACCUCUACCUCCAAUAUCUGGACCACAAACUCUACUAGUGAACACUGGAAUAGAAGUUCUACUACUGACCUAUCAACAAUCAACUCUACAACUGACCAUUCGACCACUGUGACCCACAACUCUUCUACAGACCGCUCAACUAGCCACUCUACAACUAACCUCUCAACCAAAGACUCCACUAAUAAUCUCACAAUCCCAAACUCUGUUACUGACCUAUCGACCAACCUUUCUACAACUCGCAACUCUACAACUGACCCCUCAACUCACCACUCUACAACUGACCCCUCAAGUGCGCACUUUGCUGUUGACCUCUCAACCAACCCCUCUCCUACUGACCACUCCAUUCCAAACUCUACUACAGCAGACCUAACUAACCACCACUCAACCACAAACUCCUUGACCGAGCACACAAAUUCCAACUACUCAACAACUGGUCACAAAAGGAGAUCCACUCAGAUCAAAAACUCCACAGGAAGAUCUACACACAGUCCUGACAACUCAACUACACACCACUCUACCACCAGUGCUUCUUCUCACAGCUCCACCCACAGCUCUGUUGACAUCUCCUUUGGACAUAGUGCCAGCAGGCAGAGCACUCCGUUUGAGCUGGAUGGUGAGGUGGACUCAAUCCUGAGCAAGCCACAUCAGGCAGAAACAUCUGCCAGCUUUGUGAAGACGAGUGAUCGUAGAAAUCUGGAUGAGGAUGAUGAUGGGAUGCAAGGAGAUGACCCAGGAAGUCACAGCAGCAGUCCAGACAUGCACGAUUCCUGCAACAGUGACUCAGAACCUUGUAAUCGAGAUGACUCCAGUGAUUCCAGUUGUUCUAGCAGCUCAAGUGACUCAAGCAACUCUUGUGAUUCCAAAAGCUCAAGCGAUUCAAGUGACUCAAGUUGUUCUAGUAGCUCAAGUGACUCGAGUGAUUCAAGUGACUCAAGUUGUUCUAGUAGCUCAAGUGACUCGAGUGAUUCAAGUGACUCAAGUUGUUCUAGUAGCUCAAGUGACUCGAGUGAUUCAAGUGACUCAAGUUGUUCUAGUAGCUCAAGUGACUCGAGUGAUUCAAGUGACUCAAGUUGUUCUAGUAGCUCAAGUGACUCGAGUGAUUCAAGUGACUCAAGUUGUUCUAGUAGCUCAAGUGACUCAAGUGAUUCAAGCAACUCUUGUGAUUCCAGCAGCUCAAAGUCAAGUGACUCCAGUGAUACAAGUUCUUGUGAUUCAAGCGACUCCAGUGAUUCAAGCGACUCCAGUGAUUCAAGCGACUCCAGUUCAUGUGAUUCAAGUUCAUCAAGUGAUUCUAGCAAAUCGUGUGAUUCAAGUGAUUCCAGCAAUUCACACGACUCAAGUGAUUCCAGCGAGUCAUGUGAUUCAAAUGAUUCUAACAGUUCAUCUAAAUUGUGCCAAAAAGAUUCACAUGACCAAAGCAGCAGCAGCAGCCAAUGAGAGUUUCAGUAUUUACUCAUACUUUACACAACUGUAGGUCUCGAUACAUAGUCCAUACGCAUUUCCCCCUUAGAACAAAAGUAUAUGCUUAACUGAGGCACCAAAGUCAGUGUUAAAAACAGAUCAGGAAGUGCAGUUAAGCGUGGUGGUGUAUAUUCUGCAGGCAAGGG